UUAAGCAUUACCACUAAUACAUGCUUAUCAGCCAUGACUGUGAACACUACAGUUACACUACUUUACGUAUAUGCCUAUUUAAUGUAUCAUCAUUUUAGAACUGUGAAGUAAUCCAAAUGUGAAUUUUUUAAGUUGCAAACAGAAAUGAGUCGGAAAACAUGGAUGUUAAUACCACAGAUAAUUUGAGUAACAAGUCUGAUGGUUCACUAGUGGUUCUAAGGAAUGUAGAAGUUCCACUCUUUGGAGCUUCAAGUAAUUCAAAUGUGACUCUCGAAGGUGACGAUUUGGACGAUCAUGAUAGCGACGAUUCUUUGAAAGAUCGGGAUUAUUCAUUACGACAGUGGUUCAUCUGUCGCAGAGGAGUUGGAUAAUCUGCCUGCAACACCAGCUAAUCUAAACCCAAGUAUUUCGAUGUCAGAGAAUACUCAAAAAAGAAAGGUCAAACAAAAAACUCUUAUUAAACAAAGUGGGCGUAAAAUGAUGCGCCACAAAGAAAAUUGGCAAUCAUCAAUCCGGAAAGAGCGGUAUGCUAGUGGCCAAGCCUAUACCAGUAAGAAAGGCAAAGAAGUAUUAGCAAGACAAAUGAAAGAUGCAUGCAAAUGUUUUGAAAAGAUUUCAAAAGAUGAGAGGCAAAAUAUUUUUGAAACUUACUGGAGCAAGGAAAAGUCCGUGGAUACUAAACGACAAUACAUUCGUUCAUGCAUUGAAGUCAAAAAUGCUCAACGUAAUAGAAAGUUUGCAAGCUAAUGUUUUUGAACAUUAGCAAUAUCUAAUACAGUAGUUGUUAAUACUUUAAAAAAAAGUCAGGAGGGAGGUAUGGUGGAAGAAGAUAAACGGGGUAAACAUAUUCCGGGCAAUAAAACACCUGAAAAUAUACGCCUGCAUGUUAAACAACACAUCGAGCGCAUACCAUCCUAUGAGAGUCAUUACUCUAGAGAACGGACUGCAAAGAAAUAUCUGGGUUCCGAUCUUACACUGGAAAAAUUAUACCAGCUUUAUCUGGAGUGGUGUACAGAUCAUGACAUUUCAAAGGAAUUGGUUGCCAAAAAAUUGUUUUAUUCAAAGGUUUUCAACACAGAAUAUAAUUUAUCUUUUAAGUCACCAGAAAAUGACACAUGUGAUGAUUGUGAUACCUUAAUUGCAAAAAUUACAUGAAGCAAAUCGGAAACUGACAAAAAUCAAUUGCAGAUUCAACAUGACGCUCACAUACAGGAAUCGAAAAUUCGGUACCAUCUAAAGCAUGAUGACAUAAUCUACAACGCAACUACAGGUCUGGCGCAUAAUAUGAUGAGGGAUGAAACUAAGGCUGCUCGAGGUGCUAACGAGGUGGGAUCAGCUUUAAUUAAAUGGGUGAUACAAAAUAUCGGAGAUACCAAAGAAUUGACCAUAUGGUCCGAUAAUUGCUAUGGGCAAAAUAAAAACUUAUCAGUAGUAAUGGCACUUUUUUGGAUCAUUGGAAAGUAUCCACAAGUUGAGGUAAUUAAUCAUAAAUUUUUAUUGAAAGGCCACACCCAUAUGGAGGCAGAUACAGUGCAUACUGUUAUUGAAAGGAAGAGAAAGAAUUUAUUACGUCUUAAAGAAAUUAUGACUCCGUGGGACUGGCAGCAAUUCAUUAGGCAAUGCUCCCCAAAAUUCAUUGUAGAAAAUAUGGAAGUGCAAGAUUUUUUUAACUUGGAAGAACUUUACGGGACUCUCAAAAACUCACCAUUUAUCGCCAGAAAAAUCGACACAGACAAACAUGCUGUCCUAAUCUCAAAUGCAGUACAACUUCAAGUGAGAAAGGGUGAGAUUGGAAUUUUGUACUUUAAGACAAAGUUUGAGGAUGAUUUCCGAAAAGUAAAUCUUAAAAAAAAUGCAAGAUCAUUGGACGUAAAUCUACCAGAAAAACUUCAACCUGUUACUGAGAGAGGAAACGAUAUCACUGAACAGAAGUACAAGGACCUUUUAUCAUUGCUCCCAUUUACCAACUCUUACUGUCAUGAUUUCUAUAAGAAUCUUAGGCAUAACAAACUCGACAAUAACGAUUACCCUAGUACUGACAAAGACUAACUGUUGUCCGCAUACUGAUAAUGUAAUAUUAACUAAUUCAAAAUAAAGAUUUUGUUUUA
rnacentral:lncRNA from 1 species